GAAUGUAUUUGUUCCACAGCCACUUUGUAACAAUAGCAGGACAUCCAGAGGGAAAGCAGAGCCCGUGUAUAAGAAAAAUAAACCAUAGCUGCAGACAAACCUCCCAUCAUCCUCCACACCUCCGCUGUAACAAGUAUGUGUUCCGUGUCACGCUGCUGCUUAUUAUUUACCCUCUGCAUUUUCUGGUUUGCUUCAGGUGGGCCGCUCUGAUGGGGAUGGGAAGCUUCCAAAUUCUGGGACCGUCUCCCAUCGCUGCAGUAGACUAACCUAAAACUUUGGCCCCAGCCGGCCCCCUAGGAGCUGAACUUUAUGCCUCGGCCCCACCUCUGAUUUUUAACUUUAGCUCUGACCCCUUGUGGCAAAGGAAGGUUGAAUAGUUGGACCUGGCUAUAAACAGAGGCCUAGUUCCUGAUGCAAAGUUCAUUAAUUGGGGGCUAGCAGGAGAAUGCUACUGAAAAGCAGAGAAACUUGGGAGGAUGCCAGCCCCUGUGUUCAGUGCCUCACCCCUGAGAUCACAGGCUAUGCCCACUUCAGCCUGACAGAUGAUCUCAGCAUUCACUCUCUGCUGCGUCUCCUGGCACCACUGCAUUUCAGCUGAGAGUAAGAUAGUCACUGUGUGUUUUUAGGAGGCCUUACACUGCUGUGAUAUGAACACAGCUAAACCACCCAGCCUCACUGUACUGGGCCCUAGAACAUACAUAGCAGCAAGGGCCACACCACUGCUCAACAAGGUGGUUUGGACCAAAUUCUGCCCUGAACUCUGAGUCAAAGAGGGCAUCUCCUGCAUUGGUGACUAGAACAGUUAGUGGCACAACUGAUCUUUUCUUCCUGUAGCUUCCACGGUUCAAUCGAACAGAUCAUUUGUGGGGGAGCCUUUCCGUCAACUUCAGUGGGCUUUGGAUCAUGCCCUUGUUUAGCAACCCAAAUCUGCCACCUGUCAGUCAGAUCCGUCACCAGGCACAGCAUCGACAAGCCCAGGCACGCAGCUCUGAAAGGACAGUAGCCCAGCCUUGGGUGUCAUGACAUCAAACGGGAGUUGUGUGUGGCCGACUAAAGGGAGGAUGUGGCUGAUGCUGUGAAUGACAUUUAAGUCGUGUUGUAUGGUUGGUUCCCAGCAACCAGCGCUUGAAAGGCAUGAUCUCAAGGGGCUGUGACAGCAGCUGGGCCUAUAAGAAUCAGCUGAGGUUGAGUUUUGAUUCUGGUGCCACUAACACUAGGUGAAUCUCAGCAGAAAUGUGCUUAGUUGACUCAGCACCUUUGCUGCAUGGAGCC